UUUUAGCCCUGAUAGAAGCGGCAUCCUUUUUUGAUUUUUCUUCAAAAAAGAUAUAGCGGAUAGCAGGAAAUAGC
rfam:Gillisia limnaea DSM 15749 genomic scaffold Gilliscaffold_2, whole genome shotgun sequence.